rnacentral:rRNA from 1 species
AACGAACGCUGGCGGCAUGCCUAACACAUGCAAGUCGAACGAGAACUUCGGGUCUAGUGGCGCACGGGUGCGUAACGCGUGGGAACCUGCCCUUAGGUUCGGAAUAACUCCCCGAAAGGGGUGCUAAUACCGGAUAAUGUCUUCGGACCAAAGAUGUAUCGCCUUUGGAUGGGCCCGCGUUGGAUUAGCUAGUUGGUAGGGUAAAAGCCUACCAAGGCGAAGAUCCAUAGCUGGUAUGAGAGGAUGAUCAGCAACACUGGGACUGAGACACGGCCCAGACUCCUACGGGAGGCAGCAGUGGGGAAGAUGGGACAAUGGGCGAAAGCCUGAGCCAGCAAGGCCGCGUGAGUGAUGAAGGCCGGAGGGUUGUAAAGCUCUUUUACCCGGGAUGAUAAUGACAGUACCGGGAGAAUAAGCUCCGGCUAACUCCGU